rnacentral:tRNA from 1 species
GAAAAUGUGGUUUAGUGGUAGAAUGCUUGCCUCCCAUGCAUGAAGCCCUGGGUUUGAUUCCUCAUUACCA